AAAUUGAAGAGUUUGAUCAUGGCUCAGAUUGAACGCUGGCGGCAGGCCUAACACAUGCAAGUCGAACGGUAACAGGAAGCAGCUUGCUGCUUCGCUGACGAGUGGCGGACGGGUGAGUAAUGUCUGGGAAACUGCCUGAUGGAGGGGGAUAACUACUGGAAACGGUAGCUAAUACCGCAUAAUGUCGCAAGACCAAAGAGGGGGACCUUCGGGCCUCUUGCCAUCGGAUGUGCCCAGAUGGGAUUAGCUUGUUGGUGGGGUAACGGCUCACCAAGGCGACGAUCCCUAGCUGGUCUGAGAGGAUGACCAGCCACACUGGAACUGAGACACGGUCCAGACUCCUACGGGAGGCAGCAGUGGGGAAU
rnacentral:rRNA from 1 species